UGUGUUCCAGGUAAAUCCGGUUCACUUUAACACUGAGGCGUGACGACGAGGCACUACGGUGCUGAAGCAACAAAUGCCCUGCUUCCAGGAAAAGCCUCUAAGCAUCAGGUAACACGAAAUCGUACCCCAAACCGACACAGGUGGUCAGGUAGAGAAUACCAAGGCGCUUGAGAGAACUCGGGUGAAGGAACUAGGCAAAAUGGUGCCGUAACUUCGGGAGAAGGCACGCUGACACGUAGGUGAAGUGAUUUACUCAUGGAGCUGAAGUCAGUCGAAGAUACCAGCUGGCUGCAACUGUUUAUUAAAAACACAGCACUGUGCAAACACGAAAGUGGACGUAUACGGUGUGACGCCUGCCCGGUGCCGGAAGGUUAAUUGAUGGGGUCAGCGCAAGCGAAGCUCCUGAUCGAAGCCCCGGUAAACGGCGGCCGUAACUAUAACGGUCCUAAGGUAGCGAAAUUCCUUGUCGGGUAAGUUCCGACCUGCACGAAUGGCGUAAUGAUGGCCAGGCUGUCUCCACCCGAGACUCAGUGAAAUUGAACUCGCUGUGAAGAUGCAGUGUACCCGCGGCAAGACGGAAAGACCCCGUGAACCUUUACUAUAGCUUGACACUGAACAUUGAGCCUUGAUGUGUAGGAUAGGUGGGAGGCUUUGAAGUGUGGACGCCAGUCUGCAUGGAGCCGACCUUGAAAUACCACCCUUUAAUGUUUGAUGUUCUAACGUGGACCCGUAAUCCGGGUUGCGGACAGUGUCUGGUGGGUAGUUUGACUGGGGCGGUCUCCUCCUAAAGAGUAACGGAGGAGCACGAAGGUUGGCUAAUCCUGGUCGGACAUCAGGAGGUUAGUGCAAUGGCAUAAGCCAGCUUGACUGCGAGCGUGACGGCGCGAGCAGGUGCGAAAGCAGGUCAUAGUGAUCCGGUGGUUCUGAAUGGAAGGGCCAUCGCUCAACGGAUAAAAGGUACUCCGGGGAUAACAGGCUGAUACCGCCCAAGAGUUCAUAUCGACGGCGGUGUUUGGCACCUCGAUGUCGGCUCAUCACAUCCUGGGGCUGAAGUAGGUCCCAAGGGUAUGGCUGUUCGCCAUUUAAAGUGGUACGCGAGCUGGGUUUAGAACGUCGUGAGACAGUUCGGUCCCUAUCUGCCGUGGGCGCUGGAGAACUGAGGGGGGCUGCUCCUAGUACGAGAGGACCGGAGUGGACGCAUCACUGGUGUUCGGGUUGUCAUGCCAAUGGCACUGCCCGGUAGCUAAAUGCGGAAGAGAUAAGUGCUGAAAGCAUCUAAGCACGAAACUUGCCCCGAGAUGAGUUCUCCCUGAGACUUAGAGUCUCCUGAAGGAACGUUGAAGACGACGACGUUGAUAGGCCGGGUGUGUAAGCGCAGCGAUGCGUUGAGCUAACCGGUACUAAUGAACCGUGAGGCUUAACCUUACAACGCCGAAG
rnacentral:rRNA from 1 species